rnacentral:lncRNA from 1 species
UUCAUAUUAUUCAGAAUCACACAAUCCUCCCCUGUACAUGAAGAAACCUGGAAGCAGAGAAGCUAUCCAAUCUCCCCAUGUCCCUCAGCCAGUGAUCCACUGAAAAAAUACCUUGGGUUUUGCCAAUUCUUCCAGAAGCUUGGGGUUGCUCAGUCACGACAGAAGGGUUCAGAGUAUUCCCAGCAGUGGUGCACUGUGCAUGUGAGUCGUCUCACAGCCUCCUGUGAAGCUGAGGUGGCAGGAUUUUCAAGAACUGGAUAUUUUUCCCAAGUACCAUACACUUGUGUUAGCAAAUUGUGUAUUGGGUUGUUGAAGCCUAACUGUAGGCCAGUAGGUGGUGCUAGCAGGCAAAAGCUAGCUGUGGAAGUAACAGUAGGCUUUCUGCUUGAUCUCUGUUUACCAGAAGCUCUCCAGUGCCUCAGGCAAUGGGCUGGGCUAUGGAAUGCAGGAUGACCUGGGUUUAGCACUCAGUUCCGGAGUUGGGGAAUGAAGCUGGGCAGAGC